rnacentral:rRNA from 1 species
AACGAACGCUGGCGGCAUGCCUAACACAUGCAAGUCGAACGGCAGCGGGUCGUAGCAAUACGAUGCCGGCGAGUGGCGGACGGGUGAGGAAUACAUCGGAAUCUACCUUGUCGUGGGGGAUAACGUAGGGAAACUUACGCUAAUACCGCAUACGAACUAUGGUUGAAAGCGGCGGACCGCAAGGCGUCGCGCGAUUGGAUGAGCCGAUGUCCGAUUAGCUAGUUGGCGGGUAAAGGCCCACCAAGGCGACGAUCGGUAGCUGGUCUGAGAGGAUGAUCAGCCACACUGGAACUGAGACACGGUCCAGACUCCUACGGGAGGCAGCAGUGGGGAAUAUUGGACAAUGGGCGAAAGCCUGAUCCAGCAAUGCCGCGUGAGUGAUGAAGGCCUUAGGGUGUAAAGCUCUUUUACCCGGGAUGAUAAUGACAGUACCGGGAGAAUAAGCCCCGGCUAACUCCGUGCCAGCAGCCGCGGUAAU